AGUGAACGCUGGCGGUAGGCCUAACACAUGCAAGUCGAACGGCAGCACAGUAAGAGCUUGCUAUUACGGGUGGCGAGUGGCGGACGGGUGAGGAAUACAUCGGAAUCUACUUUUUCGUGGGGGAUAACGUAGGGAAACUUACGCUCAUACCGCAUACGACCUACGGGUGAAAGCAGGGGCUCUUCGGACCUUGCGCGAUUGAAUGAGCCGAUGUCGGAUUAGCUAGUUGGCGGGGUAAAGGCCCACCAAGGCGACGAUCAGUAGCUGGUCUGAGAGGAUGAUCAGCCACACUGGAACUGAGACACGGUCGAGACUCCUACAGGAGGCAGCCGUGGGGAAGAUUGGAAAAUGGGCGCAAGCUUGAUCCAGCCAUACCGCGUGGGUGAAGAAGGCCUUCGGGUUGUAAAGCCCUUUUGUUGGGAAAGAAAAGCUGCAGGUGAAUAACCCGCUGUUCUGACGGUACCCAAAGAAUAAGCACCGGCUAACUUCGUG
rnacentral:rRNA from 1 species